AUGGCCCAGUCUGUCCUGUGGGGUUGCUCUCCCAAUGUCCAGCAUGCGGCCACCUCCCAGAGCCCUGAUUUGGAGGGCUUUUCCAGGGCUGGCUGCAACCUCAGCCCACAGUCCCCACACUGGGACAUGUCAGCAGAGCCUGAGCACUUGAAGGAGUCCUCCAUGUAUCCUACUCCAAAACCCUGCUCUUCCCACCUUCUCCUUUUAUUCCUUCUCUUUCUGCUCCCCCGAAUGAUAAGGCCCCACAUUGAGGCCAUGUCUUGCAUUCUGCACUCCCUACCUUUCUUCCCCCAGCACCUCGCCUGCCUUCUCAGGGACCCAGUGGUGAAGUGCCCUUGGUGGAAUCUUGGGAUUCUCGAAGGAGAAGAUGCCCACCAGAGUGCAGCAUUCCUGAGGUCCUCGGUGGCAGGAUGGCUUCCAAAGAUCCCAGCCGGAAGCUGUUGUGGGAAGGAAUUCGGUGAUGUGUGUAGAACAGUGCUGGGCACCUAGGAAGCCGUCCCGUCACACUAUCGCCGCCCACCUCAGCACCAUCCAAUAGCAUGACGGAGCUACAAAUGCAAGCCGUAUGUCUAACUUAAAUUUUUCUAGUAGCCACGUUGAAAAGAAAUGAAAAGAGGCAAGUGAAAAGAAGCAAACAUUUCAUUAAAUGUUUCAUUUUAAUGAAACAUUUUAUCUCACCCAGCGUAUCAAAAAUAUUAAGAUUUUAACAUGCAGUCAAUAUAAAAUAUGGAUAUUUUACAUCACUUGCAUUAUACCACGUCUAGAACGCAGUAGGCGGUUUACACCCACGGCACAUCUCACCUGAGACUAGUCACAUCUGAACGUUCAGGAGCCCCCCGAGGCCAGGGGCCACCACACUGGCCAGCGCAGGUCUAAGCAGUCUCGACGCUUCCAUUCCAGAGUUUCUUAACCUCUGCACCACUGACAUUUCGGGCACGUGGUGGAAACAGAAUUUGAACCCAGAGUAUAUAUAGAAAGAGCUAGAUGUGAGUACAGUGUGACCCUGGGUUAUUCAAAAUGAGCAGCAGCCCUGGGGAACACCAACAUUUAGACCAGGGUUUCAGAACCCCUCCCACCACUGACAUGCGGGACCAGAUAAUCGC
rnacentral:lncRNA from 1 species